AGAAGCAAGACCGCGAGGUGGGAGCAAAACUACAAAAAAUGGUCUCAGUUCGGACUGCAGGCUGCAACCCGUCUGCACGAAGUUGGAAUUGCUAGUAAUCGUGGAUCAGCAUGCCACGGUGAAUACGUUCCCGGGUCUUGUACACACCGCCCGUCACACCAUGGGAGUCGGUAACACCCGAAGUCAGUAGUCUAACCGCAAGGAGGACGCUGCCGAAGGUGGGAUUGACGACUGGGGUGAAGUCGUAACAAGGUAAC
rnacentral:rRNA from 1 species